rnacentral:rRNA from 1 species
AGUGAACGCUGGCGGUAGGCCUAACACAUGCCAGUCGAACGGCAGCACAGUAAGAGCUUGCUCUUACGGGUGGCGAGUGGCGGACGGGUGAGGAAUACAUCGGAAUCUACUUUUUCGUGGGGGAUAACGUAGGGAAACUUACGCUAAUACCGCAUACGACCUACGGGUGAAAGCAGGGGAUCUUCGGACCUUGCGCGAUUGAAUGAGCCGAUGUCGGAUUAGCUAGUUGGCGGGGUAAAGGCCCACCAAGGCGACGAUCCGUAGCUGGUCUGAGAGGAUGAUCAGCCACACUGGAACUGAGACACGGUCCAGACUCCUACGGGAGGCAGCAGUGGGGAAUAUUGGACAAGGGGCGCAAGCCUGAUCCAGCCAUACCGCGUGGGUGAAGAAGGCCUUCGGGUUGUAAAGCCCUUUUGUUGGGAAAGAAAAGCAGCAGGUUAAUACCCCGCUGUUCUGACGGUACCCAAAGAAUAAGCACCGGCUAACUUCGUG